rnacentral:rRNA from 1 species
AUUGAACGCUGGCGGCAGGCCUAACACAUGCAAGUCGAACGGUAACAGGAAGCAGCUUGCUGCUUUGCUGACGAGUGGCGGACGGGUGAGUAAUGUCUGGGAAACUGCCCGAUGGAGGGGGAUAACUACUGGAAACGGUAGCUAAUACCGCAUAACGUCGCAAGACCAAAGAGGGGGACCUUAGGGCCUCUUGCCAUCGGAUGUGCCAAGAUGGGAUUAGCUAGGAGGUGGGGUAACGGCUCACCUAGGCGACGAUCUCUAGCUGGUCUGAGAGGAUGACGCGCCACACUGGACCUGAGACACGGCCCAGACUCCACCGGGAGGCAGCAGUGGGGAAUAUUGAACAGUGGGCGAAACCCUGUUGAAGCCAGGCCGGGUGUAUGAAGAAGGCCUCCGGGUUGUAAAGUACUUUAAGCGGGGAGGAAGGGAGUAAAGUUAAUACCUGUGGUCAUUGACGUUACCCGCAGAAGAAGCACCGGCUACCUCCGU